GAUGAACGCUGGCGGCGUGCCUAAUACAUGCAAGUCGAGCGAACAGACGAGGAGCUUGCUCCUCUGACGUUAGCGGCGGACGGGUGAGUAACACGUGGAUAACCUACCUAUAAGACUGGGAUAACUUCGGGAAACCGGAGCUAAUACCGGAUAAUAUAUUGAACCGCAUGGUUCAAUAGUGAAAGACGGUUUUGCUGUCACUUAUAGAUGGAUCCGCGCCGCAUUAGCUAGUUGGUAAGGUAACGGCUUACCAAGGCAACGAUGCGUAGCCGACCUGAGAGGGUGAUCGGCCACACUGGAACUGAGACACGGUCCAGACUCCUACGGGAGGCAGCAGUAGGGAAUCUUCCGCAAUGGGCGAAAGCCUGACGGAGCAACGCCGCGUGAGUGAUGAAGGUCUUCGGAUCGUAAAACUCCGUUAUUAGGGAAGAACAAAUGUGUAAGUAACUAUGCACGUCUUGACGGUACCUAAUCAGAAAGCCACGGCUAACUUCGUG
rnacentral:rRNA from 1 species